rnacentral:rRNA from 1 species
GACGAACGCUGGCGGCGUGCCUAAUACAUGCAAGUUGAGCGCUGAAGGUUGGUACUUGUACCGACUGGAUGAGCAGCGCACGGGUGAGUAACGCGUGGGGAAUCUGCCUUUGAGCGGGGGACAACAUUUGGAAACGAAUGCUAAUACCGCAUAAAAACUUUAAACACAAGUUUUAAGUUUGAAAGAUGCAAUUGCAUCACUCAAAGAUGAUCCCGCGUUGUAUUAGCUAGUUGGUGAGGUAAAGGCUCACCAAGGCGAUGAUACAUAGCCGACCUGAGAGGGUGAGCGGCCACAUUGGGACUGAGACACGGCCCAAACUCCUACGGGAGGCAGCAGUAGGGAAUCUUCGGCAAUGGACGAAAGUCUGACCGAGCAACGCCGCGUGAGUGAAGAAGGUUGUCGGAUCGUAAAACUCGGUUGGUAGAGAAGAACGUUGGUGAGAGUGGAAAGCUCAUCAAGUGACGGUAACUACCCAGAAAGGGACGGCUAACUACGUG